rnacentral:rRNA from 1 species
AGAGUUUGAUCAUGGCUCAGGACGAACGCUGGCGGCGUGCCUAACACAUGCAAGUCGAACGGAGAAUUUCAAAGAGCUUGCUCUAAGAGAUUUUUAGUGGCGGACGGGUGAGUAACGCGUGGGUAACCUACCCAUAAAGCCGGGACAACCCUUGGAAACGAGGGCUAAUACCGGAUAAUCUUAAGUCUUGGCAUCAAGGCAUAAGGAAAGGUGGCCAAUGAGAAUGCUACCGAUUAUGGAUGGACCCGCGUCUGAUUAGCUGGUUGGUGGGGUAAAGGCCUACCAAGGCGACGAUCAGUAGCCGGCCUGAGAGGGUGAACGGCCACACUGGGACUGAGACACGGCCCAGACUCCUACGGGAGGCAGCAGUGGGGAAUCUUCCGCAAUGGACGAAAGUCUGACGGAGCAACGCCGCGUGUAUGAUGAAGGUCUUCGGAUUGUAAAGUACUGUCUUUGGGGAAGAACGAAGUACUUGAGAAAAUUGAGUACAAAUGACGGUACCCAAGGAGGAAGCCCCGGCUAACUACGUGCCAGCAGCCGCGGUAAUACGUAGGGGGCAAGCGUUGUCCGGAAUUAUUGGGCGUAAAGGGCGCGUAGGCGGAUAAUUAAGUCCGGUGUGAAAGAUCAGGGCUCAACCCUGAGAGUGCAUCGGAAACUGGCUAUCUUGAGGACAGGAGAGGAAA